UGCCAAUGAAAAUGUUUUAACAAUAGGAUA
rnacentral:piRNA from 1 species